GACACCUUUGCAGGAUCAAGUGUUUCUAAAGGUUGAUCAGAGUAUUACAAAGACAAGAGGCAUAAUGGCUAUUUUCAUCCAACUUCUCUCAUUUUGCUAUAAACUGCUGAAGAAGAGUAAAGAAGAAACCAAUUGUCUUAAUUGUUUCCAGCUUCAAGUGGAAAACAACCGAUGGAUCUCAGUUACAAAUAAAGAUUCUGUGGAUGGUAAAACUUGAGAAGUUCUUGCGGUCAGAUCUCUGGAACACCAUGUGGCAAAGCUGACAUUUUUAGAAAGCAAAUGAUCCUGUAUAUUUCAGAAAUACAACA